UCAGGGCUCAGCAUGAAGUUGCAGUC
rnacentral:piRNA from 1 species